rnacentral:lncRNA from 1 species
AUUACAAAUGAGAAUUUUUUAAUAUCUUAUAGACCACAUAUCACAGAUAUUAUAAGUCAUAAAUUUUAAUUUUUUUAAAGUCACACACUAUUAUCGAUCGCAAAUUUUUUUUUUAGUAAUCACAUAUUGUCUAUUGGUCACAAGUUAACCAAUUUAAUGGUCACAAUCAAUCAAUCAAUCAAAUAAUAUGUCACCUCCACCAAACCACCACUUCCUCCAAUAGUACCACCACCACCGCCUGAACCACCAUCACCGAUAGCAACACCUCUGUCUCUAACAAAAAAUCAACUACAACAUUGUCACCACCACAGCCCACACCAACACCACUGUCACCGUCGUAGCACCACAACCAUCACUACCACCAGUUCAUCAUCACGGCAGACCAACCACAAAACUCCACAAAUCCACCACACAACCACAAAUCCACCGCCGCCACUACGACUGCAACCACCGUUCCCACCACCACCACACAUCACCACUCACCCAACUACCACAUCACCACCACACCUACAACAAUCCAGUACGGCAGUACCCCAUUACCACCACAAUCCACACUACACCGCCACCACCGCCCCAACGAAACCACUACAUUGUCACACUCCACCGAAUCGAAGUGGCUGCAAAGCCAACGCUUCACAUCGUUGCCCUUCCAAAUUCACCACCAUCGUCGCAAUCAACCUUCGUAGCACCAUCCACUUCUUCACAUCGUGACGAGGCUGGAAUGCUACAGAUCGCUUCAGCCGCCGUUGCGAGGGACCUGCACCAACCACAUCUUCACAUCGCGACGAUGCUGGAUUGGUACAUCGUCGGUGUUUGUAGUCGGGAGAAGGGUUGAUGGGGAGGGGGGGGGGGGGGGUGCGUGGGUUUGUGUAGAAGGACAAUGGAGAAAUG